rnacentral:rRNA from 1 species
GAUGAACGCUGGCGGCGUGCCUAAUACAUGCAAGUCGAGCGAACAGACGAGGCGCUUGCUCCUCUGACGUUAGCGGAGCACGGGUGAGUCACACGUGUAUAACCUCCCUAUCAGACUGGGAUAAUCUCGGGAAACCGGCGCUAAUACCGGAUAAUCUAUUGAACCGUAUGGUUCAAUAGUAAAAGACGGCUUUGCGGUCACUAAUCGAUGCAUCCGCGCUGGAUGAGCUGGUUGGUAAGGUACAGGCUUAUCAAGGCGACGAUGCGUGACCGAGCUGAGAGGGUGAUCGGCCACAUGGGAAGGUGGACACGGACCAUACUCCUGCGGGAGGCAGCAGACGGGAAUCUUCCGCAGAGGGCGAAAACCUGACAGAGCAGCGCCGCGUGAGUUAUGGAGGUGUUCGGAUCGUAAAACUCUGUUAUUAGGGGAGAACAAAUGUGUAAGGAACUAUACACGGCUUGACGGUACCUAGUCAGAAAGCCACGGCUAACUACGUG